AUCCCACCUCUUUAUAUAAAUAUGAUAUAGAGAAAGAAAUAGAGUGAAAAGGGAUGUUAAAAUAAGAUUUUAGGAUGUGAGAAUAAUGAAAGCUUUUUCCAUAUAAUAAUAUCUUAUAUUUGAACUGAAAUAAACAUAUUUUAUUAUUUAAAUUCCGCAGUGACUCUAUAAAACCUCCCUCCAAUCCCUCCAUUAACACCCACUCAUCUGCAAUAUUGUCAUCAUCCACAGCAUGUUCAACAAUCAAGCUGCUCCUCAGUAUGCCCGUCAGCAGCAACGACAAAGAGAAGAAAAAUACAACCGGGUUUUGGACUUCAUUUCGAGAUUUUUGUGGGCCUGUGUAGAUAUAGCGCCAAAGAUUGCAAAGGCUAUGAUGGGUCGCUAACAAGAAGGAUGCUUCUCGCAUGAUUUGAAAACUUUUCUUUUUAGUAAAAUAAUUUCCUUCACCAUGUAGGAAACUCGAACCUGUCCUUGUUAUGUGUCUAUACUAUAUGGGCUAGCCCCACUUGUUUGAAUUUUCUUUUAUCUUUUGUUGUAUUAUGUUGGACUUAAAAACGUAUCUGGUUGUUAUACGUUUGUUAACUUACAUCGUUUGCUUAUGUUUAUUUAUUUACGUUCGGUAAUGUUA